AUUGAUGAAUUCCCUGCAUCACCUCUAAUUUUAAUUGUAUAAAGUUACAGUUGGAUGUAAUUAAAACCAUACAUAAAUACAACACUCAGCAGUUUUGAAAAUUAUCAGGAUAAUGGUAACAUUUUCAUUAAUGGUAU